rnacentral:tRNA from 1 species
CGGGAAGUAGCUCAGCUUGGUAGAGCACUUGGUUUGGGACCAAGGGGUCGCAGGUUCGAAUCCUGUCUUCCCGACCAU